rnacentral:rRNA from 1 species
CGCCGCCGGAGGACGUGACUGCGGCCGAUUAGGUAGACGGUGGGGUAACGGCCCACCGUGCCGAUAAUCGGUACGGGUUGUGAGAGCAAGAACCCGGAGACGGUAUCUGAGACAAGAUACCGGGCCCUACGGGGCGCAGCAGGCGCGAAACCUUUACACUGCACGCCAGUGCGAUAAGGGGACCCCGAGUGCGAGGGCAUACAGUCCUCGCUUUUCGUGACCGUAAGAAGGUCUCAGAAUAAGAGCUGGGCAAGACCGGUGCCAGCCGCCGCGGUAAUACCGGCAGCUCGAGUGAUAGCCACUAUUAUUGGGCCUAAAGCGUCCGUAGCCGGCCGAACAGGUCCGUCGGGAAAUCCACCCGCUCAACGGGUGGACGUCCGGCGGAAACCAGUCGGCUUGGGGCCGGGAGACCAGAGAGGUACGUCCGGGGUAGGAGUGAAAUCCUGUAAUCCUGGACGGACCACCGGUAGCGAAAGCGUCUCUGGAGAACGGACCCGACGGUGAGGGACGAAAGCUUGGGUCUCGAACCGGAUUAGAUACCCGGGUAGUCCAAGCUGUAAACGAUGCUCGCUAGGUGUGGCGUUGGCUACGAGCCAGCGCUGUGCCGUAGGGAAGCCGAGAAGCGAGCCGCCUGGGAAGUACGUCCGCAAGGAUGAAACUUAAAGGAAUUGGCGGGGGAGCACUACAACCGGAGGAGCCUGCGGUUUAAUUGGACUCAACGCCGGACAUCUCACCGGCACCGACAGUGUGCAGUGACAGUCAGUUUGAUGAGCUUACUUGAGCCACUGAGAGGAGGUGCAUGGCCGCCGUCAGCUCGUACCGUGAGGCGUCCUGUUAAGUCAGGCAACGAGCGAGACCCGCGUCCCUAAUUGCCAGCAGCAGCCUUGUGCUGGCUGGGUACAUUAGGGAGACUGCCGUCGCUAAGACGGAGGAAGGA